rnacentral:misc_RNA from 1 species
AGCAGAUCCAACUUUGCCUCGUACAAAAUCUGUUCGAUGUUCUCAAUGUGGUCAUGGAGAAGCAGUUUUCUUCCAGGCAACUGCAAGGGGAGAAGAAGGUAUGACGCUCUUCUUUGUUUGCUGCAACCCAAACUGUGGUCACAGGUGGAGGGAUUGAGACUACAUUUUGCAUUAUGGGAAUGCACUGUUAGUUCUUGAUGUAUUCGAAAAAAACUAAUUCUGAACAAAAGGAAAACGUCGUAACUGUUCAU